ensembl:snRNA U6 U6 spliceosomal RNA
GUGUGUUUACUUUGGUAGCAUAUAUAUUAAAAAAUUGGAAUAAUACUGAGAAGAUUAGAAUGGCCCCUGACAAAGGAUGACAUACUAAUUUGUGAAGCAUUGCAUAUUUUU